GAAAAAUGGAGGAGAGAGGAAGGACAAUAGAUGUGAUGUGAUGGGCUAAGGUGCUGAGCCUGAUAUCCUUACCCAGUGGAUAUAAUCUGUUUAGGAAGGAAUCUGUAUUUUACCUGUACUUACUGGUAAAAUACACUUGCUGGUAGAUCCCACUUCAACUGAUAAUUAGACCAUGUCCUUGGCCUUGUACUUUUCUCCCUGUAUGACAAAGUGUGCAGAUGUCUUUUGGCCUCUUCUCUCUUCUUCCAAGCCAACAAAACAGGCCAAUUCUAGCCUGAAUGCUUUCCUUGAAAAUGGAUCCUGAGAGUGGAGACAGCAUCAUUUUUUCUCUUCUUUGUGAGGAGAAUCUGGGACCAAAUGUUUGCUGAGGCCAUGCCAAAAAUGAAGAGAAGGGAAAAAAAUAAUGAAUUCCUGAAGAGCAAGGUAACCUUCCAAGUCACAUGGUGCCAUCAGCAGGUUGUAUGCCCCUUGAGUUCCCCAUCCAGAGGGGAAUACCAUCUUCAUCUCUCUCCCUUCCAGCUCCAUCACAAAGCAAAUUGAAGACACUGAAAUAUAUUUUUGAAACAAUGAUGUUAAAUCAAGCUUUCAAUCCAAAACAAUGAUGUUUUUGCUCUGUGUUUAUAGCAUAUUUGAACAGGUUCAUAACCAUGGACAACUCUCUGGAAAUUCUGCUAUUAGCAGGGUUUAAGUGUUUACCUAAGUAAGGCAGAAUGUUUUGAGAGGAAACAAUUAAAAGGAAAC
rnacentral:lncRNA from 1 species